rnacentral:rRNA from 1 species
UGGGGAAUAUUGCACAAUGGGGGAAACCCUGAUGCAGCGACGCCGCGUGAACGAAGAAGGUAUUCGUAUCGUAAAGUUCUGUCCUAUGGGAAGAUAAUGACAGUACCAUAGAAGAAAGCUCCGGCUAAAUACGUGCCAGCAGCCGCGGUAAUACGUAUGGAGCGAGCGUUGUCCGGAAUUAUUGGGCGUAAAGGGUACGCAGGCGGUUUAAUAAGUCGAAUGUUAAAGAUCGGGGCUCAACCCCGCAAAGCAUUGGAAACUGAUAAACUUGAGUAGUGGAGAGGAAAGUGGAAUUCCUAGUGUAGUGGUGAAAUACAUAGAUAUUAGGAGGAAUACCAGUAGCGAAGGCGACUUUCUGGACACAAACUGACGCUGAGGUACGAAAGCGUGGGGAGCAAACAGG